rnacentral:rRNA from 1 species
AUUGAACGCUGGCGGCAUGCCUAACACAUGCAAGUCGAACGGCAGCACGGUGUGUAGCAAUACACAUGGGUGGCGAGUGGCGGACGGGUGAGUAUAAAGUAGGAAUCUGCCUUAUAGACGGGGAUAACUUGGGGAAACUCGAGCUAAUACCGGAUAAGCACUACGGUGGAAAGUAUGGGACCGUAAGGCCAUACGCUAUAAGAUGAGCCUACGUCGGAUUAGUUAGUUGGUUAGGUAAAGGCUGACCAAGACGAAGAUCCGUAGCUGGUCUGAGAGGAUGAUCAGCCACACUGGGACUGAGACACGGCCCAGACUCCUACGGGAGGCAGCAGUGGGGAAUAUUGGACAAUGGGGGCAACCCUGAUCCAGCGAUGCCGCGUGUGCGAAGAAGGCCUGCGGGUUGUAAAGCACUUUAGUUGGGGAAGAAUGAGCGUAAUUCGAAUAGAGUUACGCAGUGACGUUACCCAAAGAAUAAGCACCGGCUAACUCUGUGCC